UGUUGCUUUUGAUUUAUUCUCCUUAUAAUGAUUUGAUAAGAAGGGUAUGAAAUUAGAAAAGCUUGGUUUUUAUUUUAUUUUUCUCACGCCAAAGCCUUCCGUUUCGUUGACUUUGUUUCUAUGCUGUACCUUCUUCAUCUCCUACAUCCAUACAUACAUAAUCGGAUCCAACUCCAAUACCAGUUCCUCGGCAGUUUUCCAAGGGUAAAUCCAAAAUUUUUUAGACCUAAACGACAAUGAACCAUUAGUGUUGGAGAAUCUGAAGCGGUGGUCGUAUACCCUUUAGGUGGUCUGCGCUCAAACAAGAUAUGCGCAAAGAAGGUAAGGUAGAAAAGUUCUAAGAAUACUCAGACCAGAAGAAAAAGAUGUCCCGAAGCUUGGUCGUGAAAUCCAAGUCCAACAACGUACUCCAAUUCAACGUUUCGAGCCUUUGGGUAUAAAUGUCUCCCUUGUUUGCUCCACCAUUUCUUUUUAAUACUAAUAUUUUUUAUCUAGCAUGAUUAUGUUGCUUACCUUUGGUGGUGUUUAAAACAUGUCACUAAAUCCCUUUUUUUGACGUCUGAUGAUGUUGAUGGAAAUGUUUGUAAAUAUAUAUGUUUCAGCUCAUACUGUUGAACGGGGAAAUGUGUUUUAGCUCAUACCAUAUUUUUUAUUAAUAAUGUAUAGGUUAACAUUUUAUGUGUUCCUGUUAUGAUACUCAUUAUUAUCUAUCUAUUACUCGAUUGGAUCCU